rnacentral:rRNA from 1 species
CAGCCGCCGCGGUAAUACAGAGGGUGCGAGCGUUAAUCGGAUUUACUGGGCGUAAAGCGUGCGUAGGCGGCUUCUUAAGUCGGAUGUGAAAUCCCUGAGCUUAACUUAGGAAUUGCAUUCGAUACUGGGAAGCUAGAGUAUGGGAGAGGAUGGUAGAAUUCCAGGUGUAGCGGUGAAAUGCGUAGAGAUCGGAAGGAACAUCUGUGGCGAAGGCGACUAUCUGGGCCAACACUGACACUGAGGCACGAAAGCGUGGGGAGCAAACAGGAUUAGAUACCCCGGUAGUCCCUGUCUCUUAUAC